UUUUUUCAGUUCUGUCCGUUCCACAGGUGACUAACAUUUUUUAUUUUUGUGUUUGAGCAUUUAAUUAAUUGGUUGCAAUCAGGGUGGGAAGGAGAUUUUAAGCAAUAUAGUAAAAAAUGCUCCAGGUAAACAUCUCCUACCCCGCCUUUAACUGAUGACACUUUCCAUUU